rnacentral:rRNA from 1 species
GGGUGAGUAACGCGUGGGAACCUGCCCUGGAGUGGGGGAUAACCGAUGGAAACGUCGGCUAAUACCGCAUACGACCUGAGGGUGAAAGAUUCAUCGCUCUAGGAGGGGCCCGCGUCAGAUUAGCUAGUUGGUGGGGUAAUGGCCUACCAAGGCGAUGAUCUGUAGCUGGUCUGAGAGGAUGAUCAGCCACACUGGGACUGAGACACGGCCCAGACUCCUACGGGAGGCAGCAGUGGGGAAUAUUGGACAAUGGGGGCAACCCUGAUCCAGCAAUGCCGCGUGAGUGAUGAAGGCCUUAGGGUUGUAAAGCUCUUUCACCCACGACGAUGAUGACGGUAGUGGGAGAAGAAGCCCCGGCUAACUUCGUGCCA